GUGGGGAAUCUUCCACAAUGGACGAAAGUCUGAUGGAGCAACGCCGCGUGAGUGAAGAAGGGUUUCGGCUCGUAAAGCUCUGUUGUCGGGGACGAAUGUGCAGUAUUUGAAUAAAGUACUGCAAUGACGGUACCUGACGAGGAAGCCACGGCUAACUACGUGCCAGCAGCCGCGGUAAUACGUAGGUGGCAAGCGUUGUCCGGAAUUAUUGGGCGUAAAGGGAGCGCAGGCGGGAAGGUAAGUCGGUCUUAAAAGUGCGGGGCUCAACCCCGUGAUGGGAUCGAAACUAUCUUUCUUGAGUGCAGGAGAGGAAAGUGGAAUUCCUAGUGUAGCGGUGAAAUGCGUAGAUAUUAGGAGGAACACCAGUGGCGAAGGCGACUUUCUGGACUGUAACUGACGCUGAGGCUCGAAAGCCAGGGGAGCGAACGGGAUUAGAAACCCGUGUAGUCC
rnacentral:rRNA from 1 species